rnacentral:rRNA from 1 species
UAGAGUUUGAUCCUGGCUCAGAACGAACGCUGGCGGCAGGCCUAACACAUGCAAGUCGAGCGCGCCUUCGGGUGAGCGGCGGACGGGUUAGUAACGCGUGGGAACGUGCCCUUCUCUACGGAAUAGCCUCUGGAAACGGAGAGUAAUACCGUAUACGCCCUUUGGGGGAAAGAUUUAUCGGAGAAGGAUCGGCCCGCGUUAGAUUAGGUAGUUGGUGGGGUAACGGCCUACCAAGCCUACGAUCUAUAGCUGGUUUUAGAGGAUGAUCAGCAACACUGGGACUGAGACACGGCCCAGACUCCUACGGGAGGCAGCAGUGGGGAAUCUUAGACAAUGGGGGCAACCCUGAUCUAGCCAUGCCGCGUGAGUGAUGAAGGCCUUAGGGUCGUAAAGCUCUUUCGCCUGUGAUGAUAAUGACAGUAGCAGGUAAAGAAACCCCGGCUAACUCCGUGCCAGCAGCCGCGGUAAUACGGAGGGGGUUAGCGUUGUUCGGAAUUACUGGGCGUAAAGCGCGCGUAGGCGGAUUAGAAAGUUGGGGGUGAAAUCCCGGGGCUCAACCUCGGAACUGCCUCCAAAACUGCUAGUCUAGAGUUCGAGAGAGGUGAGUGGAAUUCCGAGUGUAGAGGUGAAAUUCGUAGAUAUUCGGAGGAACACCAGUGGCGAA